GGGGAUAAAGCACAGGUUGAACUCGGUGAUCCUGGAAAUCUUUUCCAACCUUGGUGAUCCUGGGGUUCUGAGGUGCAGCUGGAGCUUUCCCAAGCCAGGAGCAGAGGGAAUCCGUGCCUGGAUGAGCGACCUGUGUGUCCUGGCAGCAGGACAGGGGGUGAUGCACAGCAGGGCCACUCUGUGUGUGCCACAGGGAGCCAGGCUGUGUCCCCAGGAGCUGACACAGGGACACCACCACCCCUGCGUUUUGUCCUUCAAAGAAAGGGCAGUGCCGACUUCAUUGUGGAGCUUCAAAGGCGUAAUUCCAGCUCCUCUUUAGAGAGGCCAGGGAGGAAGCAGAGUUUACAAUGUGCUAAAGGGCUGCAAUUCCGCUCUGGGCUCCCUCCCCGAGCAGCUGAGGAAGGAGCAGAUAAGUGCUGGGUACAUGGCAAACCGAGUUUAUUACCGACAUUACCGUGUACAUGGUGGGUUUGCAAUGCUGCUGACAGCCUUAGACUUUAUUGAUUUUUCUUUUCCAAGUUAAAUGUACAGGAACUGAAUAAUUACUACUGAGCUACAAGAUGUCAGGAAUGCAGUAAUGCUUCAACCAGGAGCAGUUUCCAUGGACUGAGAGAUGAAGAUUUUCAAUCUUACCAACACAGAUUUGCACACCUGAUUUCUUUUGAUCUACAUUCAAAACUACACAAGGUUUUUUUUGUUUUAUUCUUCCCCCCUUCACCUGCAGCAGUUGGAUGAGAAAUGGGGUGUUCACACCAGGUCUGUGGGGUGUUCACACCAGGUCUGUGCUCUCUGAGCUCCAUCAGAGUCCUGGGAAUGCUCUGCCCUGUGCAGCCCGGGCACUGCCGGGGUUUGGCAAUGCGGGCACGGGAAGCAACGUGCACACCGUGGAAAAGAAGGAAUCCUUCCAAUCAUUACC